GCUCUGGUAGCUCAAAUUGGUAGAGCAACUGAUUUACACAUAUACUGUUUCAGUUGGAUAGUGGUUCGAAUCCACUUCAGGGCA